UACCGAGGUCCCAAGCGUUGUUCGGAUUCCCUGGGCGUAAAGCGUGCGCAGGCGGCUUCUCAAGUCAGGGGUGAAAGCCCAGAGCUCAACUCUGGAAUUGCCUUUGAGACUGAGUGGCUUGAGUACGAGAGAGGUGAGUGGAAUUCCCAGUGUAGAGGUGAAAUUCGUAGAUAUUGGGAAGAACACCGGUGGCGAAGGCGGCUCACUGGCUCGUAACUGACGCUCAUGCACGACGGCGUGGGGAUCAAACAGG
rnacentral:rRNA from 1 species